UCCACACAAAAAACAAAAUAAACAAUACACAGAAAAAAAGGGGGGGGAUACAAAAAAUAAAUACAGGGGAGGCAUUGAGUGGAUAGUGCAUUAAUGCAUUAAUCAUAUAUCCUGCAUUUUUUAUCUUUUUUAUUUUCAUAUUUUGCAUUUGUGGAUAUAUUUUGUUAAGCUUUGGUGGAGUUAAAUGCCACCUUGUAACUACUUUAUAUAUUGCUUCUUUCAUUUUUGAUGCCCUUGCCUUUUUGUUACCUUGCUUGAAAAUAUUCAACCACAUUUGUUCUGAUAUAUUAACACCCAGUUCUUUCUCCCAGGAAUGACAAAAUGAUGGUGGUUUAAAUUCACGUGAAUUAAGGAGGAUAUCGUAUACCUUUAAUCAAGUCUGGGUACGAAACCUGCUUGAUCCUGGUGGAUCAUUGAUGCUUGGAACCCAGGGCUAUCAGAUAGCCUCUUAAAACACAUUUUACAGUUUCCCAUAAAGUUGAUGGCGAAAUCUCUGGUGUUAUGUUGUUUAAUAUAAUUAGUUUGAUCCAUUUUUGUAUCAUAUCCUUGUUAUCUGCAUUAUGUAAUAAAAAUUCAUUUAAUCGCCA